rfam:Bacillus sp. HMSC76G11 genomic scaffold Scaffold726, whole genome shotgun sequence.
AAGACUAUGUGUAACUGGCGAAACGCGGAUAACCGCGGGGGAGCACAUAGUGUCGCAGCCGUUCGCCUGGGCAGAGGUA